GAUGAAGAACGUAGCGAAAUGCGAUACGUAAUGUGAAUUGCAGAAUUCAGUGAAUCAUCGAGUCUUUGAACGCACAUUGCGCCCCCUGGUAUUCCGGGGGGCAUGCCUGUCCGAGCGUCAUUGCUGCCCUCAAGCACGGCUUGUGUGUUGGGCCUCCGUCCUCCUCCCGGGGGACGGGCCCGAAAGGCAGCGGCGGCACCGCGUCCGGUCCUCGAGCGUAUGGGGCUUCGUCACCCGCUCUUGUAGGCCCGGCCGGCGCUUGCCGACACAUCAAUCUUUUUUCCAGGUUGACCUCGGAUCAGGUAGGGAUACCCGCUGAACUUAAGCAUAUCAAUAAGCGGGGA
rnacentral:misc_RNA from 1 species